rnacentral:lncRNA from 1 species
GUGAAGUAUUAAUUUUUUUUCUUUUUCUUUUUUUUUUUGUUCAUAUUUUUUAAGAAAUAAAUAUAGUUAGAAAUGUGAAAUAGCUAAAUUUCAAAUUUGAAAUAUAGAGUACUAAAUAUUAAGUCUUUUGUUGUUUACUGACGGAAUGACUGAUACCCGAGAUUUUAGGUUCGAAAUCUUAAUUUUUUCAUAUUUUCGGUUAAAUUUAUUUUGAACGGCCAAAUAAGUUCAGUAUU